CAAGGAGUCUAGAAUGCGCGCGAGUCAAAGGGUAGGCUAAACCCAAGGCGAAACGAAAGUGAUUGAUUUUCGAACAGGGCCGAUCCGGUUCGCGCGGGAGAGUUAUGGGAUGACGGGAGGGAGGAUCGCGAGGCGAGCGGCGCGGCGCGGGGUCGUUUGACGGCCCCGUCGUCGUCGUCGUUCGUCCGAGCGUUCUCUUUCUUCCUCUCCCUUAGUUCUCUCUCCCCGCGAUUUGUCUCCCCAUUAUGAGGACGGCGCAGGCCCGGGGCUCGCCAAUGCUUCCUCCCCGCCGUUAAGGCUCGGUCGUUCGUUUUUCUCGUUCGUCGGGGCGC
rnacentral:rRNA from 1 species